rnacentral:lncRNA from 1 species
ACUGAGGCCAGCAAGACUCAGCAGGAUACCAGGAAGAUGUUCACUGGAAGACUAUCCCGUGAUUUUGUAAGCCAGCUCUUCUCGAAUACUUGUCUCAAUUUGGCAAGAUCUUAGACUUCACAAUUAAAACCUUCUCAGACACUGGGCUAUUCAAGGGGUUUGGAUUUGUGCUUUUCAAAGAUAGUGCCACGGUUGAAAAGGUGCUCCAAAUGAAAGAGCACAAAUUGGAUGACAAGAAAAUAGAUCUUAAAAGGGCUAACGCAAUGCAAUCUAGAUUCCCCUCAAAAAAUGGUUUUUGUGGGUUGGGUGAACCCUCAUCUGUCUAAAGGAAAGAUCAGACAGUGCUUUGGGACAUUUGGAGAGAUUAAGAAAAUUGAGUUUCCAGUGUGUCCAAAAACAAGUAAAAGAAGAGUUUUCUGUUUCAUCACAUGUACUGAUUAAAAAUUAGUGAAGAAGCUGUUAGAAACCAGAUACCAUCGGAUUAGCUCAGGGUGAGGUGAAGUUAAAAUUGCCCUCCCGAAAGAAAAUAUGAAGCCAACACACAAGUGGA